UUUGUUUUAGAUGUUGAUGAAUGCGCCUCUGGCCCGUGUCAAAAUGGCGCAACAUGCUUUGAUCUGGUAAAUGGCUAUUUCUGUAACUGUGUUCCAGGCUACACUGGAACAUUUUGUCAAAUUAAUAUUGAUGAAUGUGCCUCUGGGCCGUGUCAAAAUGGCGGAACAUGCCUCGAUAUUGUAAAUGGUUAUUUCUGUAAUUGUGCUGCAGGCUACACUGGUAGACUUUGUGAUAUCGAUAUCGAUGGAUGCGCCACUUCACCUUGUAUAAACGGAGGUACAUGUAUAGAUACUCUCGGCGGAUACACGUGUGCGUGUCUAGCGGGAUAUACAGGGAUCAAUUGCCAGACAAGUAUG